UACGUAGGGAGCAAGCGUUGUCCGGAUUCACUGGGUGUAAAGGGUGCGUAGGCGGGAAGGUAAGUCCGCGGUGAAAUCUCACAGCUCAACUGUGAAACUGCCGUUGAUACUGCUUUUCUUGAGUUCGGGAGAGGUUGAUGGAAUUCCAGGUGUAGCGGUGAAAUGCGUAGAUAUCUGGAAGAACACCAGUGGCGAAGGCGGUCAACUGGCCCGUUAACUGACGCUGAGGCACGAAAGCGUGGGGAGCGAACAGG
rnacentral:rRNA from 1 species